AAUGAAUUUGCCAAUACUAUAAUAAAAAGUAUGCCUGCUGAAGUGGUGAAAAAAAUGAAUGAUAAUUUAAAACAGUGUAACACACCGCCGAAUUCAUGCCAUCUGCCAGGUGUACAAGAGGGAAAAUGUCAUUUUACAAAACAGGGUGAUCUUAUAGCAAUGAACUAAAACAACAAACCUGGAGUUGGGAUGAGUUUUUCCAGUCUCCACCAGAAGACCUGCAAGACCAAAGUCCUGACGUACCUUUUUUCUCUGAUGUUUUAAGCCAAGAACAUCCAUGUGAUUAAAGGAGUUCUUGAGUGUCAAAACUCAACUAAUGACUACCAUUUUAAUCUAACUAAUCAUUUUAAAUCAAAUGUGGGAAAAGCAGAAGUAUGCCUUGGCAGCCAGUACUUCUUUGCAUUUCUGUAACUAUUUGCUCAAUAAAUGACCUCAUUUC